CCAUCCCACUGCUUCUGGUCGUGCUGCUGAUGCUCCAGACUUUCCAAAGCCAUUCCAAAGCCUCUCCCCAACCCUCUCUUUGUGAGAGUAAAGUGCUUAGUGCACAAUUAAGUGUUGGGACUGUAUGAUUAAGAGCUUGAGAGCAGAUUAGAGCAAUCCUAACCUUGAGCACUUGCUGGGCUUCGUCGAUCUUUGUUGUGCAUUUGUUACUCUUGGUGGUCAAGCCUCCUAGACGACGUCGCCCAGCGAGCUCCCGUGCUUGUGGUGAGCAGCGGGACAGUUUGUAAGACUCUAUUGCAGCUAGUGAAAUCACCCCUCCUUCAAGAGGUAACACUCUUGUUUGGAGAACGAGGGAAGGGCAAGCCUUGGUGGCAAGCCGGUCCUUGUGUGGGCACCUCAACAAUGUGGACUUAGGCCAGCCUUAGUGGCGACGCCGAACCAUGGGAUAAAACAUUGUGUGCUGAUUUAUAUUCUUGCAAUAUUGUUGUUGAGGUGAUUGUCGGGUUUGUGGCCGAUCUACUUGGUGGUACUUUUUCUGCUGCGUAUAAUUGUUAUUCAGUGACUAACAUACUUGCAGGAAUCUAGGAAAUUUAUCUGAUCUAAAUUUCCUUGGUUGAAUUUUGAAUUGUGCUAAGUUUCUCCUGCGCAGGCCGGCAGUGCCGCUCUCCAAGGCCGGCAGUGCUGCCCUCUAAUCUGAUAGAGUUUUGAGUUGAAACUUUGCAGAUUUGUCACUGGAUACCUCUAGUACUUCUUCACCAAGUUUGGGCUCAUUUGGACACACGGUUGCAGGAAGGCAGUACCGCCCUCAAAGGGAGGCAGUGCCGCCCUGAGUAUUUGUAGGCCUAUUCACCCCUCUCUAGGCCUCCUAGGCAACAUCAAGGUCCUUUCACAAAUUAUAACAUAUUUUGAUUUUUCUACAUAUAUUAAUUUUGCAAUAUGUAUAGAUAUACAAUUUUGUUUAGAUAUAUAGUAAAUUCAAUUUAAAAAAGUCAAUUACAUUUUCCAUGGCUAUGCAGCGCAACUUAUUAGUUCAUUUGGUUUAUUGUACUGAGUUUAUCUAAAUUCUCUUUUUAUGUAUAGGCUACUAACUUACGAGAUUAAGUUAGUGUAUAAAGUUAUAUAAGUAACUUGUGUUUUUCAUGUGCUGCAUGCUAGCUAACUUAUUUAUCUAAGUUACUAUUAAUAGUAAUGCAUCUAACUUGUGUUUUGUAUCUGUUAUUUUUAAAUUUUAUAAUUUAAUUAUUUUACAGAUCUACGAAUUGAAGAAACAAAUGUUGAGAUUAUCGCUGCACAAGUUUAAAAAGCAUUUAUUUUAUCUUGAUUUUCCAAGGGUGCAUCAUCAUUCUAUGGAAUGUAUUAUGUAGUAUAAGUUGUAAAAGUUACUUUUAUUUCAUCCCCCACCUUUUUUUAAACCCUCUUCCCAUUUCCCAAAUGUUUACUUUUCCAAAAAGAGAGAAAAAACGACUCUUCAAACCUAAAAGAGAAUGCAGGAGAACGACUAAGUUAGCAAUGUUGAGCUAUUUCUCGAACUUAUGUUGUCUAGAAGCACUUUUAAGUUAGUACUGUUAAAUUUAUCAUGAAAAUUAUGCUUUUUAAUGUUGUUUUAUAAGUUAUGAGGACAUGCUUCUUAAAAAAUAAAAAAAAUAUUUAAGGACAGGUGAUCCAGUAAAAGAAAGUAAAAAAAGAAUCGAAUGCCUUAAAAGAAAAAAAAUAAAUGAUUCCCUGUUCUGUCCAGAAAUAGAAAGUAACAUAUGCACUGCCCAAAAAAAGAAAGAGAAUAGUUGUCGGAAAUUGACUGUUGCUUUCAUUUCCACUGAACGUUCGUAGAAUAGUGGUGCCGAUGGCCUACUUCAACCAUAUCACACAAUUUACCUUUAUGUAUUGUGAGUUUUGUAUCUAUGUAGCAUCCUUUUUCAACAUGUUAUUUGUGUUUUUCUCAUAGGUUGUACCAUGUCGGUCGUCUUGGAAGCCUUCCAAGAAAUAAUUGAUUUGGCCAAGAGUAAGGAAAUUGUUAUAUUUUUUGACUACGAUGAGAUCCCGUAACCAAUAUUCUAUGACCCUCAAAAGUAAUAUAUGUCCUAUGAAGUAAAUAAAAUAAGUUGAAAAAUAAUAUUCUUUAUACUGUUAAUAUUCCUUCAUCUCAUGCCAGUUUUCAAUAUAACACUACUACAGAAUG
rnacentral:lncRNA from 1 species